AGGGUUCGAUCAUGGCUCAGAACGUACGCUGGCGGCACGCCUAACACAUGCAAGUCGAACGAAGUAGCAAUACUUAGUGGCAGACGGGUGAGUAACAUGUAGGUAUCUGCCCUUUGGCCUGGAAUAACACGAGGAAACUUGUGCUAAUACCGGAUAAGUCUUUACGGAGAAAGCUUUAUGCACCAUUGGAUGAGCCUGCACUUGAUUAGUUUGUUGGUGGGGUAAUGGCCUACCAAGACUGUGAUCAAUAGCUGAUUUGAGAGGAUGAUCAGCCACAUUGGGACUGAGACACGGCCCAAACUCCUACGGGAGGCAGCAGUGGGGAAUCUUGCACAAUGGAGGAAACUCUGAUGCAGCGAUGCCGCGUGAGUGAAGAAGGCCCUUGGGUUGUAAAGCUCUUUCGUCGGGGAAGAAAAUGACUGUACCCGAAUAAGAAGGUCCGGCUAACUUCGUGCCAGCAGCCGCGGUAAUUC
rnacentral:rRNA from 1 species